rnacentral:rRNA from 1 species
CCCUUAGACGUUCUGGGCCGCACGCGCGCUACACUGACCAGUGCAACAAGCAUCCGUCCUUGGCCGACAGGCUCGGGCAAUCUUUGAACGCUGGUCGUGAUGGGGAUAGACUUUUGCAAUUUUUGGUCUUCAACGGGGAAUUCCUAGUAAACGCAAGUCAUCAACUUGCAUUGAUUACGUCCCUGCCCUUUGUACACACCGCCCGUCGCACCUACCGAUUGAAUGGUCCGGUGAAGCCUCCGGAUUGGCGCGCACCUCGGUGCCGCCGAGAAGUUGGCUAAACCUUACCAUUUAGAGGAAGGUGAAGUCGUAACA